AUGCCAACGCUUGGAUCUGCAUCCGUAGAUGCCAGAUCGAGGCAGGGGCUCACCGUCGACCACCUCUCCCCUCGAGUGUCAUGGCUGGGGAGUUGGCGGUGGUCGGUGCGCCAGCGGUGUACCCCGGUGGUGGUUGCAGUACGUGGGCAUGCCGGCGGCCCCAUCGAUGGCAGCAACUCAGCAACACACAUUGAAGCCCACGGUGCUCACCGUCCCCCCCCUUGCAGUCCACGUCGUCGUGCCUUUCUUCGUCGUUGGUGCCGUGACUCCGAGCAGAUCGAAAACCCAUCCCUCCCUCUUCCUCUCCUAGCUACUUAG
rnacentral:rRNA from 1 species